UAGUCACGCCCUCGUAGCUCGCGCAGGGCCGACGCAACAAAAGCGAGACAAUGAGCAUCGCCCUGUGUGGUGUGAGAACACACGCGAAAUUUUUCCGCGCGCGACUUCACGGCCGUCGGAUACUUUUCCCCGGUACUGUCAAAUUAACGAAUUUGGCAGUAGAUUGGAAACUUCUCGUGGAUCGCCGAGUUCUUUUUUUCUCUUUUGAAAACUUUUAAGAAUUUUGACCGCUGUUCCUGUCCGAGUCGCAGGAAGGAUGUCGCAAAAUUACGGAAAAUUUAGAAGUGAAAAAUACCGACGACCACGUGGUGCUUUGAUCCUGAUCGAUUCGCGUUCUUACCUCAUGGAAUUUGACAGUGUACGUUUACGGAGAACAGAGUGAAAAAUUUUGUACUAGCCAUCGGAGAUUCGCAACUAGUGGUCGUCCAACGUCUAGGCGGCGGCUGGACCGUGUUACCUGAAGAAGCAAUCUCUGUCGCAUGGAAUAACAUUUAGGCCGGACUGCUCCACUGCAUCCUCGUUUGACUACAUAUGGAAGGCAGCUAUGGAGAUACGGUGGAAAAGGGAGCGGAGGAAAAGGAUACGGGAGUGUGAAAAAUAAUUUCCUGCCGUUGAUAUGUGGCGGAUCGGACGAGGAGAAAAGUCCUGGGCCGGGGGAUAUCAAAAUAUUAUUCGAGGGUUACCUAGGGUAGCUCCGCAUUCUCGUGCCGUAUAGAAACCUCGCCUGAGCCUAAAGUGGAUGGUUAUUGCCCCCAACCUGACCGCAUACCCGCCUCGUGCCUCUACACGAAUUUCGUAUUUACCGCUUAAUCCUUUAUCCUCAUUCAGUUCUAACGACAGAGAAGGGAUUUUUAUCUGUUCUACCAUUGAAAUCUCUGCACGUCGACGAUGCCCGAAAGUAAUAAGCCAGAGAAUGAAACGAAUGUCGUCGCAGAGAAGAUUGAAAAAAAUGGCACGUCGCAUUAUGUAGCAUUAGUUAAUCGAUCGAACGCAACAAGAGGAUCCUGGAGAGCAGUGGAAAAAAAUUGGUGCAUCGGUUCCAUGGAGGUCACCGUGUUCAGGGGUGUGAGACUUGCGCGCGCGUCCCACCCUCACACAUGCGCGCACAAGUACACGGCAAGAGUACUUACAAUUAGUACGGGGUACGCAGCCCCAAGCUGCGAGAGACUCGGUCGAUAUGUGGUCACAAUGAAGGGUGUGGCGUUCGAGGACGAAAAGCUCUCUCCUGUCCGCUUUAUCCUGCCAUUGGCUGUUGCCAGGUGUCGAGAAUGGCGGACACCUUUCUCGACACCGGCCCUCCGGCUCCUCUUAAACAACGAAUCGUCUUUCUUCGAACGAGCCACCAAAGAUUGUGCGAUAAUUCGCGGACAGAAUGGGAGAAUCGACUUUCCACGCUCGGCCACCUUCCAUCGAGCAUUGUGAUUAAUUUUGUUUAUUUUCUCGCCUCAUAACGAUAGUGUACAAGUUAUAUUUCCUAUGUGCUGAAUUACAGUUACUAGAACUGAUGAUUAUUUGACGAAGACGGAGAUUUCCAAUGUAUUUAAUGCUUUUCUUUAAUCGAAAAAGGAAAGUGAAAUUUAAAGUAUUGAUUAUCGUAACAAAUUUUAAUUUAUAUAUUAUCGAUUCUUUGAUAUUCUGGAUCCAUUUGAACUUUGUUUAUUAUAGAAAUAAAUAAAGUUGAACGAAACGGAGAUGUUAAUAUGACAUUCUCAGAGUAUUCUUAGAAUUUCAAAAAGGAUGGGAACAUUGAGAAUUUUAUAGAUGGAUAAAACAGGCAAUUAACUUAUCGCCGUGAGAGUUAUACAUCUAUCUACGAUAUAAUUUAAUUUAAUUUUCUCUUCUAUUCAACAUCUUUCAAACGAUCCAAUUUGCGGUCCAAAAUUUUUGACGAACGUGUUACGCUUUCCAGACAGUCCAUAAAUUCCCUGUAGAGAGAACGAGCUUUCCAACAGGCCCAACGAUUCACCCAGAAAAUGACGUAUAUUCGUGGUGUUCUUAACGGGCGCCACUUUAAUGGAGACACGUGUCGCGGGUAUUUCAGAUCGCUGGUACACCGUGUCGCGAUGAUGAAGAGAACGACGACGUUCGAGGAAGAUUGAUGAGGCUUACCGUUACCUUUUUCUCCUUCCACGAUGUCGUCCUUCCUAUUCGAAGAAUUUUUAACUUUCUUCGAGCCAUCGAUGAGGUUAAAUCGGAACGUCAAGAGAGAAAUGGUCGCACGACGUGUCCACGAUUGGUCCGCGAACGAAGUGAUCGAUAUCGCGGUCACGAGUUGUUAACGAAAAUCUUUCGGAUAGCCGGAGGUGGUUAACGAAGCAUCACCCUGGAUUAGGCUUGCGUCAAGCCACAAAACCAGCCUCUUCUGCGGGGUUCUGCGUACGAUGAAGAAACGGAGGUUAUUCUUGGUUGAACAAACACUGGAAUGGGUCGCGUGCGCCUCCCACAUAUUUAUAGAUUUUAUCUCUCUUUGACUUCGCCGAGGCGAGUAGGCGUUCGUGUACUCGCGUGCACCGCGCGGCGGGGAGGGGAGAGAGGAGGAAUUCGGGGGGGAGGUGGACGCCGCGAAAACCCGGGAGAAAAUCUGUGGAAUGCCGGUGGAAAGAAGGAAAACAUCGGCCGGAAUGACAGAAGGGAAGGAAUCGAAACCUCGUGCGGAUCCAAGUUAUGGGAUUUGCUUCUAUCUUGAAUCAGAGAUAUAUUUAAUCACGAGUAUCAUACCUACUGUAUUAAGUUGAGAAAGAGUCUUAUGUAAAUAUACUUUUAAUUCCGUUUA